rnacentral:rRNA from 1 species
CCUAGGGCGUCAGCAGUGGGGAAUAUUGGACAAUGGGCGAAAGCCUGAUCCAGCCAUGCCGCGUGUGUGAAGAAGGCCUUCGGGUUGUAAAGCACUUUCAGUGGGGAAGAAAGCCUUGGGGCUAAUACCCUCGAGGAAGGACAUCACCCACAGAAGAAGCACCGGCUAACUCCGUGCCAGCAGCCGCGGUAAUACGGAGGGUGCGAGCGUUAAUCGGAAUUACUGGGCGUAAAGCGCGCGUAGGCGGUCUGAUAAGCCGGUUGUGAAAGCCCCGGGCUCAACCUGGGAACGGCAUCCGGAACUGUCAGGCUAGAGUGCAGGAGAGGAAGGUAGAAUUCCCGGUGUAGCGGUGAAAUGCGUAGAGAUCGGGAGGAAUACCAGUGGCGAAGGCGGCCUUCUGGACUGACACUGACGCUGAGGUGCGAAAGCGUGGGUAGCAAACAGGAUUAGCUACCCGUGUAGUC